rnacentral:misc_RNA from 1 species
GCAAACUUGGUCAUUUAGAGGAAGUAAAAGUCGUAACAAGGUUUCCGUAGGUGAACCUGCGGAAGGAUCAUUAGUGAACAAGCCGGUGUGGUUGUUGCUGGCCUCCCCUGUGGGGCAUGUGCACGCCCACCAUUUGUUUCAUUCCUUCUCUCCCACCUGUGCACCUCUGUAGAUCAGCCAGCCAAAGGUCCAUCCGAGUUCAUCGCUCAGUUUGGAACCGUGGUUGGAGCAACUGGUCUAUGUUUCUCAUCAACUCCAAUGAAUGUGUAGAGUGUAGAACAAGGUCCAUCAUGGCCUUAUAAAUACAUAUACAACUUUCAACAACGGAUCUCUUGGCUCUCGCAUCGAUGAAGAACGCAGC